GCCAGAUGUGGGCCAGAAGAGAGCCGGGGGUGAGCCAGAUCUGGGCCAGAUUCAGACGCUGGAAGGGGCCUAAGGCUCAGAUCGUUUAGAUGUUGGAUCUCACACCACAUCAUCAGAAGAGGUCUAGCUAUCCAGGUGCUUGUACUUGGGCCGCUGGUUAGCCACAACCUUGGUGGUUUCCAUGAGAGAUGCAGAGCGCUGCGCAGCAGCUGAGGAUGCUGGGAAGCCGCCGCGAUUUUUCC